UGGGGAAUAUUGCACAAUGGGCGCAAGCCUGAUGCAGCGACGCCGCGUGAGGGAUGGAGGCCUUCGGGUUGUAAACCUCUUUCGCCAGUGAAGCAGGCCAUCUUCUUUGUGGGGUGGUUGACGGUAGCUGGAUAAGAAGCGCCGGCUAACUACGUGCCAGCAGCCGCGGUAAUACGUAGGGCGCGAGCGUUGUCCGGAAUUAUUGGGCGUAAAGAGCUCGUAGGCGGCUGGUCGCGUCUGUCGUGAAAUCCCCUGGCUUAACUGGGGGCUUGCGGUGGGUACGGGCCGGCUUGAGUGCGGUAGGGGAGACUGGAAUUCCUGGUGUAGCGGUGGAAUGCGCAGAUAUCAGGAGGAACACCGGUGGCGAAGGCGGGUCUCUGGGACGUUACUGACGCUGAGGAGCGAAAGCGUGGGGAGCGAACAGG
rnacentral:rRNA from 1 species